rnacentral:tRNA from 1 species
CCUAGGCAUAUAGCUAAGUGGUAGAGCACUUACCUAGCCUGUGGGAGGGCCUAGGUUCAAUCCCUAGUGUUGGGG